CUAGAGUGGCUUCAACGAACAUGAGGAAGGAGGUAUCACCAUGUACUGGGAUGAAGCUGUCAUUUUCGGGCUGGUGACCGUCGGCAUGAUGAUCGCCUUCAUGGGGGGAUUCGCCGCCUUCAUCAUUCGCGAUCAGAAACGCAAGGGCAAGCGUCUGCCCUGAGGUUCUUCGGGAAAGACUUGUCAGCGUGAUCGCAGGAUUGUCGUCAGGGGAGGGGGCUCCGCCCCCUUGUAGCCGGCCUUCGGGUCGGCUUUUUUAGG
rnacentral:sRNA from 1 species